AACGAACGCUGGCGGCAUGCCUAACACAUGCAAGUCGAACGAGACCUUCGGGUCUAGUGGCGCACGGGUUCGUAACGCGUGGGAACCUGCCCUUAGGUUCGGAAUAACUCCCCGAAAGGGGUGCUAAUACCGGAUAAUGUCUUCGGACCAAAGAUUUAUCGCCUUUGGAUGGGCCCGCGUUGGAUUAGCUAGUUGUUAGGGUAAAAGCCUACCAAGGCGACGAUCCAUAGCUGGUAUGAGAGGAUGAUCAGCCACACUGGGACUGAGACACGGCCCAGACACCUACGGGAGGCAGCAGUGGGGAAAAUUGGACAAGGGGCGAAAGCCGGAUCAAGCAAUGCCGCGUGAGUGAUGAAGGCCUUAGGGUUGUAAAGCUCUUUUACCCGGGAUGAUAAUGACAGUACCGGGAGAAUAAGCACCGGCUAACUCCGU
rnacentral:rRNA from 1 species